rnacentral:rRNA from 1 species
UACGAAGGGGGCUAGCGUUGCUCGGAAUCACUGGGCGUAAAGGGUGCGUAGGCGGGUUUUUAAGUCAGGGGUGAAAUCCUGGAGCUCAACUCCAGAACUGCCCUUGAUACUGGCGGUCUCGAGUCCGGGAGAGGUGAGUGGAACUGCGAGUGUAGAGGUGAAAUUCGUAGAUAUUCGCAAGAACACCAGUGGCGAAGGCGGGUCUCUGGACAGUUCCUGACGCUGAGGCACGAAGGCCAGGGGAGCAAACGGG